rnacentral:rRNA from 1 species
GACAGAGGGUGCAAACGUUGUUCGGAAUUACUGGGCGUAAAGCGCGUGUAGGCGGCAGGGCAUGUCGGAUGUGAAAUCCCGUGGCUCAACCACGGAAGUGCACCCGAAACUGCCCAGCUUGAGUCUCGGAGAGGAAGGCGGAAUGCUUGGUGUAGAGGUGAAAUUCGUAGAUAGUUGGGAAGAACACCGGUGGCGAAGGCGGCCAUCUGGACCGUAGUCUGACGCUGAGGCGCGAAAGCGUGGGGAGCAAACAGG